AUCGAACGCUGGCGGCAGGCCUAACACAUGCAAGUCGAGCGAGCGGCGGCCGGGUGAGUAAUGUAUGGGGACUGACCGACAGAGGGGGAUAACUACUGGAAACGGUGGCUAAUACUGCAUACUAUCGGAUAACCCAUGGGGGAUUAGCGAGUAGGGGGUGUAAAGGCUCAUCUAGGCGACGAUCCCUAGCUGUUCUGCGAGGAUGAUCAGCCACACUGUGACUGAUACACGGCCCAGACUCCGAGGGAGGCAGCAGUGGGGAAUAUUGGACAAUGGGCGCAAGCCUGAUGCAGCCAUGCCGCGUGUAUGAAGAAGGCCUUAGGGUUGUAAUGUACUUUCGUCGGGGAGGCGUUACCCGCAGAAGAAGCACCGGCUAACUCCGUGCCAGCAGCCGCGGUAAUAC
rnacentral:rRNA from 1 species